AUGGACGGACGAGCCGGCAAAAACCCGACGCUCCGCUGCAUUAAAACAGUCCCUUCAAAAUAAAAUCACGGGAGGAUUUUUUCUUCUUUUUCCCCGGCAAAGGCCCGCGACCUAUUAAAGACCCCAGACCCACCAGUUGAGAGUCACUGAUUUAAACCAUACAGUUAUUAAACAGUUUAUCUAUCUGGGUUUUUACAGAUGUAUUUAAUGCUGUUUAUUUCACGUGCUGUUUAGUUGUUGCUUUUUAAACCAUAGUUGUAAACAUUUUAUUAUAUUUAUGUAAUUUAAUCAUAAAAUAUCUGUUAGUCAUUAAAAAAUAAACAAUAAGUUUAAGAAUAAAAACGUUUGGUUCAUAAACAUCGGCGUAUUUGUCACACUUUCAUCCUAAACUGAAUGGUUGGACCGAAAAUGUCAAAGAUUAGAAGACAUAAUGUUGGUCAAAUGUUAUUGUCUAAAGAAGAUAAAUUCAGUGUUAUUGCCGUCAGAUUUGUUAUAUUUUGAAAAUAAUCAGACUUUUAGUUCCACCUUAAAGCCAGAUUUUUAUUUCCAAGAGAAAACCAUUGUUAAACAUUCUAAUUUUAAGGAAGAGUCCAGUUACUCGACCAGUGAAGCCAUCAGGAGCUGCAGAGUGGAACCAACAAGAAGUUUGACUCACUAACACAAUGUCACACUUUGUCACCAAAGAGCAUCAGGAUGUGAAGACACACUGUAGAUUGUUGGUGUGAUGAUGAUGUUUGAGCUUCUUCUCCUCUGUCUCCUCUCACAGGGAGGAGAUGAUCUGCAGCAUCCUGGUGAUCUUCAUCCUGACCUCCUGUGUCUGUGCAGGGUCAUUUGUAGUGAAUGUGACACAGAGCUGGUAUCAUGCAGAGGAGAACCACAACAUCUCACUGGAAUGGAUGUUCCCCACCAGCACGGACCCCUCCCCCAACGCCCUUUAUGUCUCCUGUGAGACGUUAAUUAAUCAGACACACUCAGUCCUGUUUCAUCUGUAUGAAGGUGUCGAGAUCCCAGAGUUUCAGGAUAAACACUUUGCAGGACGAGUCCAGUGGGACAAAGACGUCCUCAGAGAAGGACGACUCAGACUUCACAUCUCCAGACUCCAGACUAAUGACUCGGGGCUGUACUGGUGUCAAGUGGAAACAAGUUAUGGGAAGAACUUUAAGGAAUGUCACCUCAAGGUCACUGCAGUGAAGGAUCGACCCGAACCUGAGACAUCGAGUGAUACCAGUCUGAGAUGGAUCGGCCUCUACUGGGCACUGGGACUGACAGCAGCUCUACUGGGAUGUUUCUUUAUUUUCUAUCUGCAUUGCAAAGAAAGAUUAGUGAUCAGCAGAACAAAUGAUACAUCGUUGUUAAAUUCAUCUAAGUUUUUGCACAGAAAGUGUCUGACUUCUGACAUCAAAGUCUAAAUGUGUGGGGAUGGAUGAGGCUUCCAGAAGGUUCUUCCCCAGGUUGAUGGAGAGAGAACAUUAGAUGUGAUGGUGAUGAGAACCUGUGUCCUGAUGCUAGAGAGGCAGGAUCAGCCCUCAGUUAUUUGUUCACAUUACAGUCUGUACUUUUACUUUCUACCUUUUUUUAUAUCUCAUUACUGUAAUUCUGUAAAUUACUACAGACUAUUGAAGCAAACUGCUAAUUUUCAUUUACCUUAAAAAAUUGUUAUGUUCUAAAAAUGUUAAUAAAUCAUGUGAAAGAAUGGGACUCUUUUCUUUGAAGAAAAUCUUACUUUGUAUGACGUCACUGAAGUGGUUGAAAGUGUAAAGAUGAACAGUGAGUAUUUUGUGUGUUGGUGUUUUUACUCUCAGUGUCUGAGUGACAGUGUGUGUUCUCACAGUGUUUGCUGCACUGAGCCUGUUUGGAGUCACGUGUUAAGAGUUGUGUUGCUUGCAGUGACCUUUGCAGGUGAUGUGAACUAUUGAGCUCAGGUGACUGUUGGUGCUGCAGACUGUAGUUACAGUUUUACACAUGUGACUCCAGUUGUGCCGCUGACGUUUAGCCAUCGGAAAAGACUUUAACAUGCAGAUUAACCGGAAUGUAAUUUUAUCUUCCUUCUUCUUCAUCUGGUGUUUGCUUGCUUCAUAAAUGUGGAUAAGCAUUUAGUAGAUGGUGUAAACGCCUUAUGUCCACAUCUGUGUGAACACAAUGAGGAUGUUUAUCUUGAAGGAGGAUGACGAACUGGCUGCAGGACAUGAUAUUCUGCACAAACAUGUACGAUCAGCACUUAUGUGAGUGCACCAGCACCUUCACUCAUGGUAGAAGGUUAGGACGAACUCGCUGCACGAGGAGUUCACUUAUCAAAGAGCUUCAGUUCAAGACGUCCAAGGUA
ensembl:lncRNA